UAAGAACAAAAAAGUUGGGAACCUGCCCAUUGUCACUCAGUGGGCCCCUUCCCCAACAAUGUCUGUGCACAGUUACCCUUCACCGGAUGAGCUACCCUUUCCGUUUCUGUGUUGAAAUUCUCACGGGUCCAGGCUCAGAAUGCCCCUCCAGCAAGCACAGACAAGAGGAGAAGAGACACAGCUUAGAGAGACAUGGCCUGGAGGUGUGAGCACAAUAAAGGCCACAUUACAACAUGGUGAGGGGGGGAUGUGGGGAAGGAUUAUUUAACAAAUAAAUGUUCAAGGAAAUACGAGGGCCCAAAAAACAUAUGGAAAAAGUGCUCUCCCUGACUACAUCAUCAAAGAAAAGCAAAUGGAAACACCAGUGGGAUACCAUUUGUUAACUGUGAAAAGGGAAAAAAGAUUACAAAUAUUUGGUAUGUUACAAUGAAGUGAAAGAGUCUCCAACCCUGCUGAGAUAAAUGUGUAGAUGAGAGGGGGGAAAAGAAGAGGAAGUGGGCUACUGGGGAGAUAAAAAAUAAAAAGGGCCCAUUACAAAGGAGUUCUGAUUUUGGCCUUGUUUCUGUUCUGGAUUAAUUCCCCCAAAUAGAAUUAUUGGGUGAAAGGGUAAUGACAUGGUUAACCCUCUUGAGGCAGAAUGCCAAAAUGUUUUCCCAAAUACUAAUCCCGCUCAGUGGCAGUGUAGGAGGGAGCCUGUGCCAGCGUUCAAAAUGAACUGUGGAAAUUAAAAAUAGAAAAAACAACCUGUGAUCCAACUGCACAAAGUAAAACAGGACUGUGGGUAUUUUAAGCAGACACUUUAGGCAGGGCAGAGCAGGAUCAGAG
rnacentral:lncRNA from 1 species